UAGGGAAUCUUCGGCAAUGGACGAAAGUCUGACCGAGCUACGCCGCGUGAGUGAAGAAGGUUUUCGGAUCGUAAAACUCUGUUGUUAGAGAAGAACAAGGACGUUAGUAACUGAACGUCCCCUGACGGUAUCUAACCAGAAAGCCACGGCUAACUACGUGCCAGCAGCCGCGGUAAUACGUAGGUGGCAAGCGUUGUCCGGAUUUAUUGGGCGUAAAGCGAGCGCAGGCGGUUUCUUAAGUCUGAUGUGAAAGCCCCCGGCUCAACCGGGGAGGGUCAUUGGAAACUGGGAGACUUGAGUGCAGAAGAGGAGAGUGGAAUUCCAUGUGUAGCGGUGAAAUGCGUAGAUAUAUGGAGGAACACCAGUGGCGAAGGCGGCUCUCUGGUCUGUAACUGACGCUGAGGCUCGAAAGCGUGGGGAGCAAACAGG
rnacentral:rRNA from 1 species